rnacentral:rRNA from 1 species
CCCGAGUUGUAAUUUGCAGAGGAUGCUUUUGGCGCGGUGCCUUCCGAGUUCCCUGGAACGGGACGCCAUAGAGGGUGAGAGCCCCGUCUGGUUGGAUACCAAGCCUUUGUAAAGCUCCUUCGACGAGUCGAGUAGUUUGGGAAUGCUGCUCUAAAUGGGAGGUAUAUGUCUUCUAAAGCUAAAUACCGGCCAGAGACCGAUAGCGCACAAGUAGAGUGAUCGAAAGAUGAAAAGCACUUUGGAAAGAGAGUUAAACAGCACGUGAAAUUGUUAAAAGGGAAGCGUUUAUGACCAGACUUGGGCCGGUUAAUCAUCCAGCGUUCUCGCUGGUGCACUUUGCCGGUCCAGGCCAGCAUCAGUUCGCUGCGGGGGAUAAAGGCGUCGGGAAUGUGGCUCCUCUGGAGUGUUAUAGCCCUUCGCGCAAUACCCUGCGGUGGACUGAGGUUCGCGCAUCUGCAAGGAUGCUGGCGUAAUGGUCAUCAACGACCCGUCUUGAAACACGGACCAAGGAGUCGUCUUCGUAUGCGAGUGUUCGGGUGUAAAACCCCUACGCGUAAUGAAAGUGAACGCAGGUGAGAGCUUCGGCGCAUCAUCGACCGAUCCUGAUGUUCUCGGAUGGAUUUGAGUAAGAGCAUACGGGGCCGGACCCGAAAGAAGGUGAACUAUGCCUGUAUAGGGUGAAGCCAGAGGAAACUCUGGUGGAGGCUCGCAGCGGUUCUGACGUGCAAAUCGAUCGUCAAAUAUGGGCAUGGGGGCGAAAGACUAAUCGAACCUUCUAGUAGCUGGUUUCCGCCGAAGUUUCCCUCAGGAUAGCAGUGUUGAACUCAGUUUUAUGAGGUAAAGCGAAUGAUUAGGGACCAGGGGGCGCUAUUUAGCCUUCAUCCAUUCUCAAACUUUAAAUAUGUAAGAAGCCCUUGUUGCUUAAUUGAACGUGGGCAUUCGAAUGUAUCAACACUAGUGGGCCAUUUUUGGUAAGCAGAACUGGCGAUGCGGGAUGAACCGAACGCGAGGUUAAGGUGCCGGAGUAGACGCUCAUCAGACACCACAAAAGGUGUUAGUACAUUAUGACAAUAGGACGGUGGCCAUGGAAGUCGGAAUCCGCUAAGGACUGUGUAACAACUCACCUAUCGAAUGUACUAGCCCUGAAAAUGGAUGGCGCUCAAGCGUCUCACCCAUACCUCGCCCUCAGGGUAGAAACGA